rnacentral:rRNA from 1 species
CCUACGGUCGGCAGCAGUGAGGAAUAUUGGUCAAUGGGCGGGAGCCUGAACCAGCCAAGCCGCGUGAGGGAAGAAGGUACAGCGUAUCGUAAACCUCUUUUGUCAGGGAAUAAAGUCGGGGACUAGUCCCCGUAUGAGGGUACCUGAAGAAAAAGCAUCGGCUAACUCCGUGCCAGCAGCCGCGGUAAUACGGAGGAUGCGAGCGUUAUCCGGAUUUAUUGGGUUUAAGGGGUGCGCAGGCGGCCUGUAAAGUCAGCGGUAAAAGGCGGGGGCUCAACCCCGCCGAGCCGUUGAGACUGGGAGGCUGGAGUUGGAGAGAGGUACGCGGAAUGCGCGGUGUAGCGGUGAAAUGCGUAGAUAUCGCGCAGAACCCCGAUUGCGAAGGCAGCGUACCGGCUCCACACUGACGCUGAGGCACGAAAGCGUGGGUAUCGAACAGGAUUAGAUACCCGGGUAGUC